UCGACAUUUCGAAUAACCUUGGACUUGAUCUAUUUUUGUUUUUGACAGCUUAAUAAUAGUAUUCCGAAAACUGUUCGAAUAUUCGAACCGGAACACUUGAACAAUCGAAAGAAGUCUUGGAGUGCGCUGAAAAGGUCAAAUUAAUAUUUUAAAGAGGAAAAACUGUUGCAUUUUACUUUUUAAAAAACAAAUUGCUUAAUUAUGAUGUAUAACCUGAGACAACAAAAGAGAAUUUGUUACCGGCUAACAAGACGAUAUAAUGUACGAACCAAUCGCAUCUCACUCAACGAUGAUUGUUGGUUGGCAAUAUUCGAGAGAUUACAAUCAGACGACUUAGCAAACAUCCACUACACUUGCAGCAGAUUUAAGGCCUUAUCCGAAACAUCAUUUCGUUUGCGGUACAAAGAAACUUGUUUUUAUUUAAGCCACAGCCUACCCACAACUAACAGCCGAAUUGAGCGUUAUGGAAGAAUUACCGAUACAAUUAACUUGAAAACGCUUGGCGCAUUCCGAAACGAGAUUAAGCGAGUGGUUGUAGAGUAUACGAUGCGCCCUCACGUUAUCAGCCAGUUUAGCAGAAUGUGUCAUCAAACAGUGGAAGAGUUAAUAAUUUGUAAUUUUGAUUUUUUCGAAGCUGCAGUUCGCGAACCGUUCGAGAAGCUAAAAAAAUUGACAAUUUUUGGAUUUAAUAUCGAUAUGGCUAAACUCAAGUCAUUUUUCGUAAAUGUGGAACAUUUAGUGCUCGUGAAAGCAUUUAUUUUUCAGAUGG